GAGACUCUGUGCGCGUGCAUAUCAAUAAGCGGAGGAAAAGAAACUAACAAGGAUUCCCUUAGUAACGGCGAGUGAAGCGGGAAGAGCUCAAAUUUGAAAUCUUCAAGGUUCUACCUUGACGAAUUGUAGUUUAUAGAAGUGUUUUCUGUUAGUGGAGUGGCAGAAGUUCUUUGGAAUAGGACAUCAUAGAGGGUGAGAAUCCCGUAUUUGGUCAUUCCUCCUAGCGUUGUGAUACACUUUCAACGAGUCGGAUUGUUUGGGAAUGCAGUCCAAAAUGGGUGGUAAAUUUCAUCUAAAGCUAAAUAUUGGCGAGAGACCGAUAGCGAACAAGUACCGUGAGGGAAAGAUGAAAAGAACUUUGAAAAGAGAGUUAAACAGUACGUGAAAUUGUCAAAAGGGAAGCGUUUGACACCAGUGUUGUUUUUCCGAAAAUCAAUUACGAAUGUUUUGUUUUUGAGGAGUUAUGACUUCAUCGGCUUGCUUCUCUCUUUACGAAACUUUCUUAAUGCACUUUUCGGUUAACAAGUCAACAUCAAUUUCUUUUGUUGUAAAAGGGUAUGAGGAAGGUGGCUUUCUUUUCGGAGAAAGUGUUUAUAGCCUUGUAGCCUCUGCAAUCGGAGAGAUUGAGGUCUGCAGCGUAGAUCCUUCGGGGUUAGAUACAUUUGUGCUAAGUUAUAGCUUUUCAUAGACAACUUGUUGACUAUGUUUAGUCUUGUAGCUUACUCGCUUAUGCUAUUUUACCUACGCUUAGGAUGUUGAACUCUAUCACACACAG
rnacentral:rRNA from 1 species